rnacentral:rRNA from 1 species
AUUGAACGCUGGCGGCAGGCCUAACACAUGCAAGUCGAACGAGUGGCGGACGGGUGAGUAAUGUCUGGGAAACUGCCUGCUGGAGGGGGAUAACUACUGGAAACGGUAGCUAAUACCGCAUACCAUCAGAUGUUCCCAGAUGGGAUUAGCUUGUUGGUGGGGUAACGGCUCACCAAGGCGACGAUCCCUAGCUGGUCUGAGAGGAUGACCAGCCACACUGGAACAGAGACACGGUCCAGACGCCUACGGGAGGCAGCAGUGGGGAAGAUUGCACAAUGGGCGCAAGCCUGAUGCAGCCAUGCCGCGUGUAUGAAGAAGGGCUUCGGGUUGUAAAGUACUUUUGUUAGGGAGGCGGUACCUGAAGAAGAAGCACCGGCUAACUACGUGCCAGCAGCCGCGGUAAUAC